GACGAACGCUGGCGGCGUGCUUAACACAUGCAAGUCGAACGGUGAAGCGCCUUCCUUUUUGGUGGGUGUGGAUGAGUGGCGAAGGGGUGAGUAACACGUUAGUAACCUGCCCCCUCCUGCUGGAUAACCGCAUGAAAGUGUGGCUAAUACGGGAUAUUCUGGGUCUGUCGCAUGAUGGGUCUGGGACAGAUUUUGUUUCGGUGGUGGAUGGGCUCGCGCCCCAUCAGCUUGUUGGUGGGGUGAUGGCCUACCAAGGCGGCGAUGAGUAGCCGGCCUGAGAGGAUGGUCGACGGUCACAGUAGUGAGGCGACGCGGAGACUACUACGACGGGCAGCAGCAGGGGAGAAUAUUGCAUGAGGGGAGGAAGGAUGAUGCAGCGACGCGGCGUGGAGGAUGGUGGUCGGCGGGUUAAGAACCUCUUUCGGGAGUGAAGCAAGGCUGCCUCGUUUGUGGGUGGGUUGACGGUAGCUGGAUAAGAAGCGCCGGCUAACUACGUG
rnacentral:rRNA from 1 species